UUACAGCCUGUUCCACGAUCUCGAAAGAAAAUUUGUGCGAACGAAGGCUACUCACUCACUUUCGUAUAAGAAUGCGUUCCACUAACUUUCGUUCUUUCUUUCGCAUAGCCUUACGUGAUUCAGUGUUGCUAAAUAUUUUUUUGGAAAAAUUAAUCGCGAAAUAAAGCAAAAAAAGCGUCAAAUGUCUAAUUUAAACGCGAAAAAGCAGCAGUGGCUCUGUCUCAACUGACAUUUCAGUUGUAAACAAACAAAUUGUAAAUAAACAAACAAAAUAAAAUUUUUAGUGAUUGUGUUCAAACUAUUUGUGCUCUUAGAAAAUAAAAAAAAGAAUAUUUCCGUAGCCCUAUUUUUUAUGGAGGAGGUUCGAAAUGUGCCACGGAGGCAUUUAAGAGAUGCUUCGGAUUUAUUUGAAGUACCUAACAACCAGUUUGUGGCCAACUUUCGUGUGUCGAAGGAAGUUUUCGGGCUCUUUUGGAUAUGAUGGAAGAGAAGUGGGUGCCCGGUUGCAGAACUACCCAAAUCCGCCCCGAUUUAAAACUUCUUCUGCUGCUUCUAAAAAUUGGCAUUCCUCUGGCGAACACAGGAUUCUCCUCCAUUUACUCAACUAGUGCCCGCUGCUGUGUAGUUGAUGAUUUUUUCGUGCUGGAAUUGAGAAAAUAAAAAAAUAUAUAUUUGUUGUUCACAUAUUAAAUUGCAUUUAUUAUUUUUACUUA